GCCAGUGUAGCAUAGUGGUGAGUGCGUUGGACUAGAACCUUGGAGACCAGAGUUCAAAUCCCCACUCUGCCA